CAUGCAAGUCGAACGAGUUCUCGUUGAUGAUCGGUGCUUGCACCGAGAUUCAACAUGGAACGAGUGGCGGACGGGUGAGUAACACGUGGGUAACCUGCCCUUAAGUGGGGGAUAACAUUUGGAAACAGAUGCUAAUACCGCAUAGAUCCAAGAACCGCAUGGUUCUUGGCUGAAAGAUGGCGUAAGCUAUCGCUUUUGGAUGGACCCGCGGCGUAUUAGCUAGUUGGUGAGGUAAUGGCUCACCAAGGCGAUGAUACGUAGCCGAACUGAGAGGUUGAUCGGCCACAUUGGGACUGAGACACGGCCCAAACUCCUACGGGAGGCAGCAGUAGGGAAUCUUCCACAAUGGACGCAAGUCUGAUGGAGCAACGCCGCGUGAGUGAAGAAGGCUUUCGGGUCGUAAAACUCUGUUGUUGGAGAAGAAUGGUCGGCAGAGUAACUGUUGUCGGCGUGACGGUAUCCAACCAGAAAGCCACGGCUAACUACGUGCCAGCAGCCGCGGUAAUACGUAGGUGGCAAGCGUUAUCCGGAUUUAUUGGGCGUAAAGCGAGCGCAGGCGGUUUUUUAAGUCUGAUGUGAAAGCCCUCGGCUUAACCGAGGAAGCGCAUCGGAAACUGGGAAACUUGAGUGCAGAAGAGGACAGUGG
rnacentral:rRNA from 2 species